GAUGAACGCUAGCGGCAGGCCUAACACAUGCAAGUCGAGGGAGGAGCCUUCGGGCUUCGACCGGCGUACGGGUGCGUAACGCGUAUACAAUCUGCCUUUCACAUAGGGAUAGCCCGAAGAAAUUUGGAUUAAUACCUAAUGGUAUAUAGAUGUGGCAUCACCUUUAUAUUAAAGCUGAGGCGGUGAAAGAUGAGUAUGCGUUCUAUUAGCUAGUUGGAGAGGUAACGGCUCCCCAAGGCGACGAUAGAUAGGGGUUCUGAGAGGGAUAUCCCCCACACUGGUACGGAGAUACGGACAAGACUACUACGGGAGGCAGCAGUGAGGAAUAUUGGACAAUGGUCGGAAGACUGAACCAGCCAUGCCGCGUGCAGGACGGCCUUAUGGGUUGUAAACUGCUUUUGCAGGGGAAGAAUAAGGACUACGCGUAGUUUGAUGACGGUACUCUGCGAAUAAGCAUCGGCUAACUCCGCG
rnacentral:rRNA from 1 species